rnacentral:rRNA from 1 species
UACGGGGGGAGCAAGCGUUGUUCGGAUUUACUGGGCGUAAAGGGCGCGUAGGCGGCCACCGCAAGUCGACUGUGAAAUCUCCGGGCUUAACCCGGAAAGGUCAGCCGAUACUGCGGGGCUAGAGUGCAGAAGGGGCAACUGGAACUCUCGGUGUAGCGGUGAAAUGCGUAGAUAUCGAGAGGAACACCUGCGGCGAAGGCGGGUUGCUGGGCUGACACUGACGCUGAUGCGCGAAAGCUAGGGGAGCGAACGGG